GACCCCUAGAAAGUUUAAGGAUGGGGCUUCCUGCAGCCCUACCUGGGUUUUCCCUUAGUGGGGAGGUGAGUUUCCAGAGAGCAGGGCUUCUUGCCUGGACAGACUGGGCAAGAGAGGCCCAAGUGGGCAGAUGUAUCCCUCACCAGAGCUUGGAACAGACUCCUGGUCAUUCAUUUCGCUCAGUAAAUGGCUACCCUUCUUGCCAGAUGAA
rnacentral:lncRNA from 14 species